UACGGGGGGAGCAAGCGUUGUUCGGAUUUACUGGGCGUAAAGGGCGCGUAGGCGGCGCAACAAGUCACUUGUGAAAUCUCCGGGCUUAACCCGGAGCGGCCAAGUGAUACUGUCGUGCUAGAGUGCGGAAGGGGCUACUGGAAUUCUCGGUGUAGCGGUGAAAUGCGUAGAUAUCGGGAGGAACACCAGUGGCGAAGGCGGCUAUCUGGACGUCCACUGACGCUGAGGCGCGAAAGCGUGGGGAGCAAACAGG
rnacentral:rRNA from 1 species